rnacentral:SRP_RNA from 1 species
AGUAAUGUCAUUACAAUAGUUACAUUCAAAACUGGUCAGGUCCGGAAGGAAGCAGCCAUAAGACUAAGAACUAUGUGUAAUGGCAUUUUUUAU